rnacentral:lncRNA from 1 species
AAAAUACCUGGACCAAAUUUCUCUUUUUGGAAUCCAUCAUUUUCUGCCAGGAGAGCGCUGAAGCCAGGAAACUGUUCCCUUGGUGGGAAUUAGAGGAAGAAACCACUUGAAUCACAUCUUAAAUGUUCAUCCCAAUCAAAGCAACCUCAAGAGCUCACAAGUAACCGCAGCUUUGAGAGUCAAUGCAAGAAGUUGAUGUGAAGAUGUUCCAGAAUUAUGAGAGCUGGAAGAGUCUACAGUAAGUGUUUGUCAUUCAGGUAUUACUGAGGUUAAAUAGUGUCUUGGUUGUUG